AUGUCGCCGGUGCCGCUGGAUCCAAGCCUUGCGCCGCUUCUGCUAUUCGACCGCGGUGGUGGCCAGUCCGACGACGACGAUGACACCAUCUUCUUGUACAGCAUACCCAAGAGGAAGCUGCUGAGCAGGUCCAGGAGAGCCGCCGGCCUCGCAGGCCACCGCUACUGGGUGACACCACAAGGCUGGCUGCUGAUGCUGCAUCUCGAAUCGCGCGACACCUUCCUAUGGAAUCCGUCUAGCUUCAAGAGAAUUCACCUCCACGUCGACCAAGACAAUCUCCUUGACGGCAUAGGAGACGGCAGGUGCCUGCUCUCGCGGAGGCCGUCUGACGCAGACGCAGACUGCGUCGUGCUCCUACUAGACCGUGACAACAGCGUCUUCUACUACUGCCGUCCAGUACCAGGAGGCAGCCGGUGGCUCAGGCACGCGCAUGGUCACCAUAGCUUGAUGGACAAUUGCCUUGCAACGGCUGGUGAAAAAUUCUGCUCAUACAACGCCAACGGAAUUGUGACGCUCGAGUUUUCUCCCAACCCAACGUUCACGACGCACGACCUGUUGGAACAUAGUAGUAGAAUAAUAAAACCCACGGGGUAUACCAUGUGGUGUGAUCUCGUCGUCGAGAGCAACGGCGAGCUCUUCAGCCUGAUAUUCUGCCACCCGGUACUGUCUGAACGAAGAGUGACGCAGAUCGUGGUGCGCAAGCUGGAUCUCUCGACGGGAGCUUGGCUGAGAGCGGACACGCUGGGCGGCGCCGUGUUCCUCGUCGAUUGCACCCGCCGUUACGGGGCGUCGUUUGAUGCCCGUCGGGUUGCUGGCCUGGGAAAGGGGAACCGCAUAUACUUUCUGACGUACGAGGACAAGGCGUUGUAUGUGUAUGACCUCGAGCGGGGAACUACUGCCAUGCAUGAUCCUGGACUCGAUCUACACGAUUCUCAUGUAGAGGAGUACAAAAUAUAG
rnacentral:rRNA from 1 species